rnacentral:rRNA from 1 species
GACGAACGCUGGCGGCGUGCCUAAUACAUGCAAGUAGAACGCAGUUGCGAACGGGUGAGUAACGCGUAGGUAACUGCCUCAUAGCGGGGGAUAACUAUUGGAAACGAUAGCUAAUACCGCAUACUGUGAGAUGGACCUGCGUUGUAUUAGGUAGUUGGUGAGGUAAAGGCCCACCAAGGAGACGAUCCAUAGCCGACCUGGGAGGGUGAUCGGCCAACCCGGUACUGGGACACGGCCCAGAAUCCUACGGCAGGAAGGCGUAGGGGAUCUUUGGCAAUUGACGGAAGUCUUACCGAGCCCCGCCGCGUGAGUGAAGAAGGGUUUCGGAACGUAAAGCUCUGUUGUUAGAGAAGCGUUAACUAACCAGAAAGCAACGGCUAACUACGUGCCAGCAGCCGCGGUAAUUC